rfam:Methylobacterium sp. 4-46, complete genome.
GGGCCCGUAGCUCAACGGUUAGAGCCGGCCGCUCAUAACGGUCUGGUUGCAGGUUCGAAUCCUGCCGGGCCCA